rnacentral:rRNA from 1 species
AGAGUUUGAUCCUGGCUCAGGAUGAACGCUGGCGGCGUGCCUAACACAUGCAAGUCGAACGGACUUAUAACGAAACCUAGUGAAUUAUAAGUUAGUGGCGGACGGGUGAGUAACGCGUGGAAAACCUGCCGUAUACUGGGGGAUAACACUUAGAAAUAGGUGCUAAUACCGCAUAAGCGCACAGCUUCGCAUGAAGCAGUGUGAAAAACUCCGGUGGUAUACGAUGGUUCCGCGUCUGAUUAGCUAGUUGGUGAGGUAAAAGCCCACCAAGGCGACGAUCAGUAGCCGGCCUGAGAGGGUGAACGGCCACAUUGGGACUGAGACACGGCCCAGACUCCUACGGGAGGCAGCAGUGGGGGAUAUUGCGCAAUGGGGGAAACCCUGAUGCAGCGACGCCGCGUGAGUGAAGAAGUAUUUCGGUACGUAAAGCUCUAUCAGCAGGGAAGAAUAAUGACGGUACCUGACUAAGAAGCCCCGGCUAACUACGUGCCAGCAGCCGCGGUAAUACGUAGGGGGCAAGCGUUAUCCGGAAUUACUGGGUGUAAAGGGAGCGUAGACGGUGAUGCAAGUCUGGAGUGAAAGGCGGGGGCCCAACCCCCGGACUGCUCUGGAAACUGUGUAACUUGAGUGCAGGAGAGGUAAGCGGAAUUCCUAGUGUAGCGGUGAAAUGCGUAGAUAUUAGGAGGAACACCAGUGGCGAAGGCGGCUUACUGGACUGUAACUGACGUUGAGGCUCGAAAGCGUGGGGAGCAAACAGGAUUAGAUACCCUGGUAGUCCACGCCGUAAACGAUGAUUACUAGGUGUCGGUGGGUAUGGACCCAUCGGUGCCGCAGCAAACGCAGUAAGUAAUCCACCUGGGGAGUACGACCGCAAGGUUGAAACUCAAAGGAAUUGACGGGGGCCCGCACAAGCGGUGGAGCAUGUGGUUUAAUUCGAAGCUACGCGAAGAACCUUACCAGGUCUUGACAUCUUGCGCUAACCUUAGAGAUAAGGCGUUCCCUUCGGGGACGCAAUGACAGGUGGUGCAUGGUCGUCGUCAGCUCGUGUCGUGAGAUGUUGGGUUAAGUCCCGCAACGAGCGCAACCCUUGUUACUAGUUGCCAGCAUUAAGUUGGGCACUCUAGUGAGACUGCCGGUGACAAACCGGAGGAAGGUGGGGACGACGUCAGAUCAUCAUGCCCCUUAUGACCUGGGCUACACACGUGCUACAAUGGACGGUACAACGAGUCGCAAGCUCGCGAGAGUAAGCUAAUCUCUUAAAGCCGUUCUCAGUUCGGACUGUAGGCUGCAACUCGCCUACACGAAGUCGGAAUCGCUAGUAAUCGCGGAUCAGCAUGCCGCGGUGAAUACGUUCCCGGGUCUUGCACACAACGCCCGUCA